GUGCGUGCCGUUUGUGCCGUUCGGCAUCAAAAAAACGGGGAUCGUCCGGUUCGGCAGCUUUCGGUUCGUUUAUUCGUAAACAAACCACCGGCGUGCGUGGAUUGUGCCGUGCCGUACUCGCGGAACUCGCGCUCAUCGGUGCGGCGUGGUCUCGGUGGGACCACUGGCCAUGGUCCCACCGGACCCGCACCAGUCGCGGUUCGAUUAAUCCCGCCGGGAGGUUGCGUUAUUGUGUGCGAAAGAAAAAAAAGCAUACUUCACAUCCUUUGCUUUUAUCGCUUCCUAUUCGUUAGUUUUUUAGCACGUAAAUGAGUUGUGAAACAAACAGAUUGGUGUAUUGUUUAGUUUAAAAAUUAAAAAAAAACAACAGAGCUUAGUGUUAGAGAAUACAUAUAAGGUUCUGUUUCGGUGUACUAUCAUUACUACUCACCCCAUUGCCGGUUUGCGGUUUUAAAACUGUAGCAAGUGUUUGCGCGACAAAUGUGUCGUUGGGAAAUUAAAUAUCCAUCCGAGUGCAUUUUCCCUUGUCGCUGGGAGCAAGUGUACGGCACCGAAGUGGAAUUAUCCACAAUUAACGUGUGAACCUUUCCUGUGUAGCAUUUGGACGAACAUGAGGGUCAACAUUGUAUAGUCGGCUCAUGAGCGCACGCGUGCUUAUUAAUCGAUCGAAGCCGAUCGUGGAUGUGCGAAUUCGUACACCGAAUGUUCCUCGGGAAAUGCUGGAAUUAAAAAUUGCCGUCAUCAAGAUUGCCCCACACGGUUGUCUCACCUGCUCCACACACCAAAGGGAAAGGAGGAAAGCCCUCGAAAGGCAUGAAGCGGAUGUACAUCGUUAAUUUGGGAUAUUUUCGACAUUCUCAAGAAGAAGCCAACAACAACAACAACAAAAAGGCAUAUCUUUGUGGCAGCUAGCAAACGGAUUGUAAUCGAUUAUGUACGGUGCUACUCGGCGUGGAUCACCCAGGGCUGUUCGCGUUAUUCGACUGGACGGUUAGAGCCGCCCGCAAUCGUGCCCAAACUGGAGCCCAGCAUAGAAAGAUAGGGAACCGUACACCGGGAUUGGGUUCGGUUGCGGACGGAUCGAACUGACUGUGUCGAUCCGAAACUGACCAUACAACGAGAAUGCUGAGCUGUCGCAAAUGCUUCUUUAUGACGGAUGGUGCUUGCAAUGAUCGUGGACACUUUGUUGGUUCUACAGUACUAACCGCAACUGACACUACAGCUAGCUGUUCUGCAUCGAUUCGUUACGAGGCUCAUUCAGUUGAAGUUUUAAUAGCGGAUCAAUAGCAACCAGCUCGUUCCACCUUAUAAGUACGAUUUUGUUUUACGCGAGCAGAAGCUUUGUUUUUCUUUUCUUCACAAUCAGGUCUUAAAUCAUCCUCGAGAGUUUUCACACAUGCACGUAAUUUAACGACGGGAAAGCAAUAAGCGAGGAUUGUUUUCCUUCGUUUAAAAGCCGCAUGGAUGAUUACUCAUCGGGGAUUAGGACCAGUUAAAUGUAUAGGGAAAUAGGAUGUAAGCUUUACUAUUCAAAAACCGCCAGUUUGCUGGUUGAUAAAGAUGGUACGAUGAAAUGCGAAGUGUUUCAUUUAAGUUUUCCGUUUUUCCUCCUGCUCCAAACACCGUAUCCAUUGCAAGAAAUUGAGCAAUAACAUCUGAAGGAAAAGGGAAAAUUUAAGCGUUUCCACCCGUGUUCAAUCUUUACCAAUCACCAACGAAAGGGUUUCUUUUUUUUCUCAAGGAUUUUUUCAAAUCAACCUUUUUCACUUGUCGUUGAAGUUUGAGUAUUUUGAGCGAGGUUUUUGUAUAAAAGUUUCUAUUUCGUAGAAGUAGCAACACGUAAGGUAACAAGACACGUGGUGAAAAGUGCCACGUUCUCUUCAGUUGUGUGUUUUCCAUGUUUUCUAACAAACUGAUGGCGUUUGUUGGAAAAUUGGUAAGGAACGAUCACGAAACAUUUGAUGCGAGGAAAAUAAAUUAUGUAAUAAAACCGCACAUACACACACACACAUUUUUAGUUAUUUGCGAUCUUUUAAUGCUAAUCCACACGCAACUUUGCAAAAUGGCGUUUGUUUUAUUAUAAUACAUGUGAUCGGUGAUAGUAGAAGUGCACCGAUUAAUGCACAAACGCGCACACAUACAUUGUUGCACCGAAAGGUGAUUAAACAAUCGUUUUAUUGUUUGCUACAGAAAGCAACUACAAAUUAGUUGAUAGAAUGGUAUUAAUGCCGUAGGCAUGAGGCAGAUUGCCGAUUGCUACAGAAAGCAAUGCCUGAUUGCCCUGUUGAAACAACACAAAUGAUAAAAAAGGAAGAAUUUCAAACCCCGCAUUUAGGAUGUAAGUGUACAACAAAAUAGAAAAUGAUGUGAAGUAUACACAAAAGCAAAUAAAAUCAUAUAGUUUACAAAACCG